rnacentral:rRNA from 1 species
GAUGAACGCUGGCGGCGUGCCUAAUACAUGCAAGUCGAGCGAACAGACGAGGAGCUUGCUCCUCUGACGUUAGCGGCGGACGGGUGAGUAACACGUGGAUAACCUACCUAUAAGACUGGGAUAACUUCGGGAAACCGGAGCUAAUACCGGAUAAUAUAUUGAACCGCAUGGUUCAAUAGUGAAAGACGGUUUUGCUGUCACUUAUAGAUGGAUCCGCGCCGCAUUAGCUAGUUGGUAAGGUAACGGCUUACCAAGGCAACGAUGCGUAGCCGACCUGAGAGGGUGAUCGGCCACACUGGAACUGAGACACGGUCCAGACUCCUACGGGAGGCAGCAGUAGGGAAUCUUCCGCAAUGGGCGAAAGCCUGACGGAGCAACGCCGCGUGAGUGAUGAAGGUCUUCGGAUCGUAAAACUCUGUUAUUAGGGAAGAACAAAUGUGUAAGUAACUAUGCACUUCUUGACGGUACCUAAUCAGAAAGCCACGGCUAACUACGUG